rnacentral:rRNA from 1 species
GAGAAUGUUGGCAUGAGUAGCGAGAUGUGGGUGAGAAUCCCACAGGCCGUAAACCCAAGGUUUCCAGGGGAAGGUUCGUCCGCCCUGGGUUAGUCGGGACCUAAGCUGAGUCCGAAAGGCGUAGGUGAUGGACAACAGGUUGAUAUUCCUGUACUACCGAUAACCGUUUGAGAGAAGGGAUGACACAGUAGGAUAAGCUAAGCACACUGUUGGUUAUGUGUGCCCAAGCAUUGAG